UACGUAGGGGGCUAGCGUUGUCCGGAAUCAUUGGGCGUAAAGCGCGUGUAGGCGGUUCGGUAAGUCCGCUGUGAAAGUCGGGGGCUCAACCCUCGGAUGCCGGUGGAUACUGUCGGGCUUGAGUACGGAAGAGGCGAGUGGAAUUCCUGGUGUAGCGGUGAAAUGCGCAGAUAUCAGGAGGAACACCAAUUGCGAAGGCAGCUCGCUGGGACGUAACUGACGCUGAGACGCGAAAGCGUGGGGAGCAAACAGG
rnacentral:rRNA from 1 species